GCCUAACACAUGCAAGUCGAACGGUAACAGGAAGCAGCUUGCUGCUUCGCUGACGAGUGGCGGACGGGUGAGUAAUGUCUGGGGAUCUGCCUGAUGGAGGGGGAUAACUACUGGAAACGGUAGCUAAUACCGCAUAACGUCGCAAGACCAAAGAGGGGGACCUUCGGGCCUCUUGCCAUCAGAUGAACCCAGAUGGGAUUAGCUAGUAGGUGGGGUAACGGCUCACCUAGGCGACGAUCCCUAGCUGGUCUGAGAGGAUGACCAGCCACACUGGAACUGAGACACGGUCCAGACUCCUACGGGAGGCAGCAGUGGGGAAUAUUGCACAAUGGGCGCAAGCCUGAUGCAGCCAUGCCGCGUGUAUGAAGAAGGCCUUCGGGUUGUAAAGUACUUUCAGCGAGGAGGAAGGCGGUAAAGGUUAAUAAC
rnacentral:rRNA from 1 species